rnacentral:rRNA from 1 species
AUUGAACGCUGGCGGCAUGCCUUACACAUGCAAGUCGAACGGUAACAGGUCUUCGGAUGCUGACGAGUGGCGAACGGGUGAGUAAUACAUCAGAACGUGCCUAGUAGUGGGGGAUAACUACUCGAAAGAGUGGCUAAUACCGCAUGAGAUCUACGGAUGAAAGCAGGGGAUCGCAAGACCUUGUGCUACUAGAGCGGCCGAUGGCAGAUUAGGUAGUUGGUGGGAUAAAAGCUUACCAAGCCGACGAUCUGUAGCUGGUCUGAGAGGACGAUCAGCCACACUGGGACUGAGACACGGCCCAGACUCCUACGGGAGGCAGCAGUGGGGAAUUUUGGACAAUGGGCGAAAGCCCGAUCCAGCAAUGCCGCGUGCAGGAUGAAGGCCUUCGGGUUGUAAACUGCUUUUGUACGGAACGAAAAGCCCCGGGUUAAUACCCUGGGGUCAUGACGGUACCGUAAGAAUAAGCACCGGCUAACUACGUGCCAGCAGCCGCCGUAA